GGUUCGAUGGCGUAGUUGGUUAUCGUAUCUGUCUAAUACACAGAACUCAGUUCAAGUCCGGAUCGAGCCU